rnacentral:rRNA from 1 species
GGGGGACCUUAGGGCCUCGCGCUAUAGGGGCGGCCGAUGUCGGAUUAGCUAGUUGGUGAGGUAAAGGCUUACCAAGGCGACGAUCCGUAGCUGGUCUGAGAGGACGACCAGCCACACUGGGACUGAGACACGGCCCAGACUCCUACGGGAGGCAGCAGUGGGGAAUUUUGGACAAUGGGGGCAACCCUGAUCCAGCAAUGCCGCGUGUGUGAAGAAGGCCUUCGGGUUGUAAAGCACUUUUGUUCGGGAAGAAAACGUUAGGGUAAAUAAUCUUAAUGGAUGACGGUACCGGAAGAAUAAGCACCGGCUAACUACGUGCCAGCAGCCGCGGUAAUACGUAGGGUGCAAGCGUUAAUCGGAAUUAUUGGGCGUAAAGGGUGCGUAGGCGGUUUGUUAAGACGGAUGUGAAAUCCCUGGGCUCAACCUGGGAACUGCAUACGUGACUGGC